UGCCUUUGCGAUAAGUACAAUCCGACUCUCAUCAGCUCCUACACUCAUGAUCCGUGCAUAGCAGUUUGGCAUGCACUGCGCAAAUAACAAAGCAAAAACGCAAAAAGACUGUAAGAGGGACUCAUUGACUAAGGUUUUGAUAACAAGGAGCAGCACAAAAGUCGAUAAGACACGAAAAGAACACGGAAUACAAGAUCACUUUCUCAAGAGAAAAGAAGAGGAACUAAUAAGAUAUACAGAGCAUGACAGAAGGAGAAGCAUCAUCAAAUAUAUAAUUCUAGUUUGAUUCCACAUAUGAAGAGAAGAGUCAGGUUGGAGAGAGAGCACAAAGAAAAGAGUGAAAAGAACCUACAUAGCAAUCUUUUCCCUCAACACGAUAUCGUGCCUCCCUCAAAUCUGCAACACUGCGUCUGACCUGCUCACCACGAUACUCCAGAACCUGAAACAAGUAAAUGUAUGCUCCACUGAGUGACUUCUAUAUUUGAUGCUGAAGUUAUUAGAAAUACGAGCACUUCGGUUAUUAACUGAUUCUCGACACAACAAGAUGAUCUGUAGCAUACUCAGGCAAGGAGGAACUACAUCUCAUUGGAAAUGUUCACAGGUUAUGACACAAAUCAUUGACUAUCAAGAAUAGCUCCUCAUGAUGAAAAGAUAAAGAACUCCAUUUUCAUGCAAUUACACGGACUGCCAUUUACAUCUUUUCCUAA